AUGUGAAAAGUCAGCGACCUCCCCUUUCUUCCUCUCUUCAGAAUAUCCAUCAAACCAUUUUCUCUCUCUCUUUCUUUGCUUUCUUGAGAAGAAGAAGAGGAGAAAACAAACAAAACAAAGCAUUUGUUUCAAUAUUCUCUGAUCUUUUGCUUCUUUGCAAAAUUAGCCACAAGAGUACAACAAGUCUUUCUUAACCUAAAUAUAUACAAGUGCAUGUUCUUUACGUCUGUUUGGUGCAAAACAUACCAAACUAUUCUUUGUGGACUAUCAAGAAUAGGUCAAAUCAAGAAUCUGCUGCUGCUUAAAAAUUCUUUCUCAAAGUCAUACAUAGAGAAAAGCAAAAAUUAAGGCAAUUAUAGCUAGGCAUGUGCAGCAAGUUCCAGCUGCAAAAAACAACCAUGGAGAAUAAUUAUCAAGGUGAUUUAGCAGAUAUAUUCCUAGGUAGCAGUGGACAAAAUAUAAGUGGUGCAAAUAAUAUCAGCACCACCUCUGGUGAGUCAUCACCGACUGUUGCUGCUGCUGCUGUUACUGACGGAUGGCUAGGUCAGUUCCCUUGCUAUCCGAUAAAUUAUUCGGCCUCUGGAAUUGAAGAACCGUCAGUUCAAGAUUUUGGAGAUCCGUUUUGUAACUUGAGAGAUCCACUUCUCCAUGAUCUUGAUAUGAUGCCUGCCGGUUCCAACUUAUUCAUCUCGAACAAGGACAAUAUCAACAAUAACAAUGAUAAUAUUAGUCUUUUUGGACCGAAAAUUCUUGAGGAGACUGAAAUGAAAAGUCGACCAACAGGCAAUAUCUUUUCAAGGAUGCUUCAGAUCUCUCCUACUACCAAGUUGGCGGCGAUGUCACCAUGUAAUUCUCCGAUGACUGCUGCCGUAGCCUUGCAACCGCCCUCCACUGUUAUUGCUACUGGUGGUGCAUUAGUUGCUAAUGAUGCAAUUAUGUUUCCUAAUUCUUCUAAAACUUGCUUAGUGGAAAACUCUGGCUUGCAGAUCUCAUCUCCGCGAAAUACGGGUAUCAAACGAAGAAAGAGUCAGGCGAAAAAGGUGGUAUGUAUACCAGCACCAGCACCAGCAAACAGCAGGCAAGGUGGAGAAAUAGUUCCAUCAGAUCUAUGGGCUUGGAGAAAGUACGGUCAGAAGCCAAUCAAAGGCUCCCCUUACCCAAGGGGCUACUAUAGAUGCAGUAGUUCUAAGGGAUGUUCAGCAAGGAAACAAGUGGAAAGGAGCAGGACAGACCCAAACAUGUUAGUCAUCACCUACACUUCAGAGCACAACCAUCCUUGGCCAACCCAGAGAAAUGCCCUCGCUGGCUCAACCAGGUCUCAGCCUAAUAAUUCCAAACACACUACUACUUCAACCUCUAAGAACAACACUAAUUCAAAAGAUGAUGAACAAAACACUAGCACUGUUGCACAAGUGAAUAUUUCAAAAGUGAAGGAAGAGGUGGCUGAAUUACAAGACCUAAGGCAUGAUCAUCAUCAUCAGCAACUUGCUGUGGAAAUGCGUGAUUUCGAAUUCUCUAAAGACAGUUAUCAGCCAAUAUUACCAGACUCAUCAUCGAACCACUCUCACGAGGAUUUCUUCGCCGAUUUGGUAGAACUCGAAGCUGACCCUCUAAACCUUUUGUUCGCCAAAACUCUCUCGGGAGAUAUUAAUGAAGCGGGACAGAAGAAGGCCAUUGAUGCGUUCAACUUGUACGAUUGGAGUGGAAACAACAACAAUAAGAGUCAAGCCGACCCAUAACAAGAUUCGAUCAAACACAGGGAAAAAAAGAAAAUAAAGAAGCACACUAAAUCUCACUUGAACAGUGAAGAGAUUAGGAAAGGAAAAAGUAGGAAAAGGAGUGCUGGUUGAUUGGGAGCAGGGCCUACGAGAGAGAGUCCUCCAUUCCUUUUGGGAAUAUUAGUGGAUGGGACAGAAAGCUGAGGAACAGAAGGUUUCAACAGUUAAAAGCUAGCUAAGCUACAUCGUCUAUCGGAUCAGACAUGACCAGAUAGAGGCGAUUGACGUGCGAUGGAACUCCCAUCUUUUUAGUGGGAUAAAUAAUUGAAGCCUACUCCCCUCAUUUACCAUACGCUCCAACAAAAUUGAAAAAGAAAAAUAGGAGGACCCAAAAAGCUUCUCUAUUUCCUUUCUUUCUUACUGAUUUAACAAAAAUGUUUAUUUAGAAAGAAAGGAUCAUGGUACUAAUUAAAUAAUAAAACUGAGGUUUAAAAGGAAUUCUUCUUCUUUUGUGACAUGACAAAAGCGUUUAAGGUGGUCAUGUCUGAGGUUUUUUGAGAAGAUACGUUGACAAGAUGCAAGCUUCGGGUUCCUCAGCUUUCUGUUUGUUAAUUCCAUUAUAUUAUUUUAGUUGUGUUUGUUUUGGAUAUUGUAUGUAGUUUACGAAGCUUUUGAGAUAAUUUAGAAGUUUUU